AUUGAACGCUGGCGGCAGGCCUAACACAUGCAAGUCGAGCGGAGCGGCGGACGGGGGAGUAAGGCCUAGGAAUCUGCCUGGGAGUGGGGGAUAACGUCAGGAAACGGGCGCUAAUACCGCAUACUAUCAGAUGAACAUAGGUCGGAUUAGCAAGUUGGUGGGGUAAAGGCCCACCAAGGCGACGAUCCGUAACUGGUCUGAGAGGAUGAGCAGCCACACUGGAACUGAGACACGGUCCAGACUCCUACGGGAGGCAGCAGUGGGGAAUAUUGCACAAUGGGCGAAAGCCUGAUCCAGCCAUGCCGCGUGUGUGAAGAAGGUCUUCGGAUUGUAAAGCACUUUAAGUUGGGAGGCGUUACCAACAGAAGAAGCACCGGCUAACUUCGUGCCAGCAGCCGCGGUAAUUC
rnacentral:rRNA from 1 species